ensembl:lncRNA
CAAGCAGAAUCCUGAAAUGACUGCAGAUAGAAGGGACACAAAUCCUGUCAUACAGGUGAGGAACUUGGUGCUCAAAGUCUUUAGCUGUAGUCUGUUGCACAAAUAUUGGACAUGUGCAAUGAUUACACAUGUACGUAUCUCCCCAUGUGAAAUAUCUGACACCAUCCAAGCCUAAAUAACCUUAGGAGCUCUUGCACCUGAAAUCAGAGUUGUAUGUCACCAUUGUGUCCUAUUGUCUCUUCACCUCUGCAUCAUUCAUGAUGUAAUCUGUUCUCUUUCCCGAUCAGAACGACAUAGGUCCUGUGAACAGCACUGUCACAGCAAGGGCCACGACCUCUGACCCCGCACAGAGAGUGCCCACACCUGAUCAAAACGAUAUUCAUAAACGUGAAGGAGCUGAGAGAAACAGCAGAGGAAACCAAAGGGCUGUCCAUUCUGAUGCCCAUGAUGAGACAUACACAGCUCUCAACCCCAGGAGCACAUCCUCUGAGUAUGACACUCUGCAGAAUGUGAGGAAUGUGAGUGACACCUACAUGCCUCUCCAGAGAAGAGCUCAGGCCUCAGUGUAUGAGACUCUGCAGAGAAGAGAGUUGCCCCAGUCAGAGAUGGAGCUGAAGGAUCUCGGGAUGAGAUGCCAACACCAACCAUGACUUCUGGACUGUCCAUCUCAUACUUACUGCUGUCACAGUCUUACGUUGUUAAAAGAUUUUAUUAUCAGUGCUAACUUUUCCCUUGUUUCCCAUGCUAGGGACAUUUAAUAUUUCUCCGUUGGUGUAGGUUUCUUUGACUCUCGUCAUCAUUUAGCACCAGUAAACCGCUAAUCUAAUCACCUAUUGCUUUGGAUCAUGUAUGCAU